rnacentral:tRNA from 1 species
GGGGCGGAGCGGUCACCAGCAGUCACGAGAAGACUCAUAAUCUGGUAGCUGUCGGUUCGAGCCCGACCGGCCCCACCA